rnacentral:siRNA from 1 species
GGUUCUGGGCCGGAGCCCGUAAUC